rnacentral:tRNA from 1 species
GGAUUAAAACCAAUUGACUGCACUACGCAUGUAGAACUGUCUGUAGAGUGCUUCUGGACGCGGGUUCAAUUCCCGCCGGCUCCACCA